CGCCCCCUGAUAUCAAGGGAGCGAACUCUGUCUAUGUCCGUCAAACAAACGAGGAAGUAAUGGCGUCUCGCGUCGUUUCGCUUUCCGAUAUUCCUGACAAAUUAUCAUAAAUGUGACAUUACAAUGCGAAAAAAAUAGAAGUCAAAGGAAUUUGUAACUGGCUGCUACAUCGGAAGGCUCGAUAUAUCUUUAGAAAAUGACGAUAUCUAACAUGUACGUGGUGAAAUCUAUCCAAGUCAGAGAAAAUCGGAUAGCCGACAUGUUGUCAAUAUUGACAUCGAUACAAAUGAAAAGCGUGUGUGUGACGCAUACUGUAAAUGCAAACAAGGGAAAGUGUGGUCUUUUGAAGAGAGUUCUUGAAGUUGUUCAGCAUGUUGUUUUGAUGGAUUCUUGGAAGGAUGUACCUCUAUGAUGUUAGCUUCAGUUCUGGAGUAUAACACCAGUUGUUGCAUAUUUAAUAUCAGAUUUAUUAAAUACAUUGUUGUUCUGCAAACAUUACUUAAACUUUGAUAUUUCUUUGGUGUUUAUGUAUGAUAUUGUAGGUGAAUAUCUCUUUAUUGCAAUGGCAAAUAUAUUUUAAAAUAUAUAGCAUUAGCAGAAGUUAUUUUUCACUGUUAAAGCUGCACUUUCACAGAUUGAUCACUUUGACAACUUACACAGGAUUCGAUUGCAUUUAUCAUAUUUUGGCUCGGAGAAGUUUGCUUUGUGAUUUAUAUAUUAGGUCUUAAUUUAAAGAAUGCCAAAAUAAGCCGAUUCUGAGACAAAAAGUGUCCAACUAGAAUUCUGUGAGAGUGCAACUUUAAGAAUACUGUUAAUCGAGUGUGCAUGUGAUCCGGACUCUGAACAUUGGAUGAACUAUCAUUAAAUAUUGUAGAUUUACGUAAAUGGCCCAAAAUAUAAGAAUAACAAUGAAAAUAUGUA